AAAUUGAAAAAAAUUUAUCAGUAAAAGUAAACCUUUACAAAAAUAUAACAGCACACAAUCUACCCUUAAGGAUAAAUGCUCAUUUGUAAAAUUGUACAUAUUUCGCUAUGCAUUAUCACAAAACUCACCUUUUCCCCUGAGACAUUUUGCAUGAAUCAUGCUCACAUUAAAAUUUGUAGGGAAAUAUUGGCAGUAUCAUAAACUUAGAUUAACCACUCAAUUGUUUAAUAUAGGUCUAUAUGAAAUAUAAUUAACCCUAUCACUGAUAUGGUGAAUUGCCAUUAGGUCUAUAUGCAUGAUUACACAUCCGGCAUGUACAAAAAAAAUUGUAAACAUAAGAGGUUAUUUACACAGGAGAUUAUUUAAGUGUGGGAAAAUAACAGUGUAUAUUGUAUAUGUUAAAAAUAUCUUAGUUGAUGUAAUAUAUUUUGAAAUAUCUACUGUUGUCGACAACUUUGCUUUGUUUGGGGAUGGGUUGCCCCUUCAUUAUCUCAAUGCCCUGGUGCAUUUACAUGUCUGCUAGAUUGAUUAUUACUUAUAUCUGUUUAUCAUUUGCUUGGUUUAAUUACAUUGGAUCAGCUAAAUUAAAAAUGCAUAGGUCAUACACAUUGUUAUUGGAAGGAAAAUGUCAGACUUCACUGUAGUAGAAUUAUUUAUUUGUAAAUGUUGGUUUUAUUAUACUUGAUUGCAAAACAGUAAACCCCUUUUUAAUUUUUUUGCAGGUUUAUGAACCAAAUUUUUGGUAUUAUAAGAAACUCUUUUUUCUUAUAAACCACAUUGUUCCGAGGAAGGGUGUAGAAACAAAGUUAAAAGUUGCACCUGCAUCGAGGGUGUGGGAGCCUUUAGUGGUUUAUGAUGAAGAUAGAUCAGUCGCUUUCAGAAGCACCCAAUGAAAGCCAGGAUUCAACGACAUCAAACCAGGCUAUUUCACUGUCAUGUCAGUCUCGGGCACAUAUAGCCGAGAGACAGCCCGGGCCCUCUGCAGAGCUGUGCAAGACCAUGGAACAGCCCCCCGUCACAGGACAUACAGGGACUUCAGCCUCAUUAGACAGCGUUACGUGUACACCAAAAUCACAUUAAAAACAAAAAAUUUCUACACCUUCUGAGGAUGGGUACACGGCAGUCCUCAACAGUGUUGUCGACGAACUCAAAAAGGAACCACCACGCCUCACGGUAAAUGAGCGCUUUGGCCAGUGGUUAGGUUGUGCAUUAGACAGCAUAAAAGAUCGGGGUGUCUGCAUGGCAGCCAAACAUGAUAUAAUGAAAAUAAUUAUGGGAGCUGAAUUGGAUGACUCCCAUACAUCUAAUUUGCUCAAAUGAUGUUACAUCAAGCUUAUGUGUUUUUCUUUGUAUUUGCGUACCUUUUUUCUGUAAAUUUGUACAUUGUAAAACAAAAAUGUUACUUAUUAACUUGUAAAAUAAAAAUUAUACUUUUUUCUUAUAGUAGUUACAAAUUUUAAGAGACAGGUUUCAAGUUUUUAGUUCCUGCAUUCGUAUGUGUGCAAGAUUGUAUGUAAAUAGUGUUAUUCAUACUAAAUACAAAAAAAAGAUUAUAUUUCAUUUGGGUAAUUUACCUACUUAACUGAAUAAUAAUCAUUACUGGGCAUAAAUUGAGGUGAUCAUUCAUAUAAAAAAGCAAUGGUUUUAUUUUGUAACAUAAAAAGCCAAAUACUUAAUAUAUGUAGGUUUUUGUUUAUGUUUAGAUACUAUCAAUCAUAUUCACACCACUACAUAUUUGUGCUCGUAGAAAAUUUUCUGUUUGGAGAACAUUAAACUAUCUCUGUUUACAUAAUGAAAGUAUUUUCUGUUUUGGUAUUGAAUUUUCCAGCCCAUUGUUUGGCUUUUAUAUUUCCCUCAAUAUAUGAUCAAAGAAUACAACCACUGGGGUCAAAUUGUUUAAUGUAUUAAAUUAUUUAUAUUUAUCCUUCUGCAAUCAAUAAUCCUGUUAAACAGCUAACAAAAUAAUAAGUAUGGAUACUACAAUUAUUUAUAUUUUCAAAUAAGUGUUAAAAUAUUAUAUGCUCUCAGUUACAAAACAUAUUGUUAUUAACAAAAUAAAAGCUGGAUACUUAAUCCUGCAACAUUUAAUGCCUGGCAGAUAAAUUUAAUAUAUAAAAAUCAACGCUUGUUUGUUAGUGUUUUAUGUGCUACCAUCUCUUUAAUCCGAUUGCAAUAAACAUGUGUCAACAGAAUGCUUGCAUUUGUUGAAGGUUAUAGGGACAGUACAAAUAUUACAUAUCAUAGGAUUUCAUAUAAUGUAUUCAUUAUUGACAAGAAAAUAAAUAUUUUAUCAUUCCUAGUUAAA